rnacentral:rRNA from 1 species
UACGUAGGCAGCGAGCGUUGUUCGGAAUUACUGGGCGUAAAGAGUGUGUAGGCGGUGCUCUAAGUUCGGUGUGAAAUCUCCUGCUUAACUGGGAGGGUGCGCCGGAAACUGGAGUGCUUGAGCGUGGGAGAGGAAAGCGGAAUUCCUGGUGUAGCGGUGAAAUGCGUAGAUAUCAGGAGGAACACCUGUGGUGUAGACGGCUUUUCUGGACCAUAGCUGACGCUGAGACACGAAAGCGUGGGUAGCAAACAGG